UACGUAGGGGGCAAGCGUUGUCCGGAUUUAUUGGGCGUAAAGAGCGUGUAGGCGGUCUGGUAGGUCCGUUGUGAAAACUCGAGGCUCAACCUCGAGACGCCGAUGGAAACCAUCAGACUAGAGUCCGGAAGAGGAGAGUGGAAUUCCUGGUGUAGCGGUGAAAUGCGUAGAUAUCAGGAGGAACACCGGCGGUGUAGACGGCUUUCUGGACCGUAGCUGACGCUGAGACACGAAAGCGUGGGUAGCAAACAGG
rnacentral:rRNA from 1 species